GACUUAGCCAAGCUCUGCAUUUUGAGCCUGCUGACUUUCAUUUAAAAGGAAUGAAAGGCUGAAAAUCCAGGCUGCUGUGUCUGUAGAUAAAGGUCAAACCAUGUUUGAGUUCUUCACUGUUGUGUCCACCUAAAUAAAACUGAGUCGUUUGAAUUGACUUCUGAUAGGCAACAGUGCCUUGUUUCCGAUGAGUUUGAUGUCAGGAUCCAUGAGAGAAGAGUGGUAAGCCAGCAUCUUGGCGGCGCCCGGGUUUCAACCCAGAGGAGCAGGAUCGGAAGCAUUGUUAAGUACAGAGGUCUUUGGAGUUCCUUAUCAUCUUUGACAGUGCUAGGACUGCUUUUUUCUAUAUCAGACACGUGGGCUCCUGCUGUGUCUUCCUGGAAAGCAGAGGCCAAGGAUGGAGCAGACCAAGAGGAUGCCAGGAAAAAUCACAAAGAAGCCCAGAAAGCACAGCUGGAAGCCAAGAACCCUAUUUUUGGUUUGUGUGGGUGGAAGGUGAGGGACAACAUAUAGUGACCAACAGGAUUCUUCAUUUGAAAGAGAAUGGAGUACAUCAGACCUGUGUAUUUAGGUGAAGUAUGAUAAACAUCAUCAUACUUCAAAGAUUAUGAACAUCAAAGAUUAUGGAAAGGAACAUGACUGCUUAGUUUAUUCCAUUACCAGUGAUCUGCUUGUUUGUUCAUUUGCUUACCCAUCCAUUCAUUUAUUCAUUCAUUCCUCCAUCCAUUCUCUUUCACUUAUUCUACAAUCAUGAUUGUAUGCCUACCAUAUCGCUAGAGAGAGGGCAGGAAAAGAUCCAAGGAUGUGAAUACAAUCUUCUGCUUCAUGAUGAGAGCUAAAGGAAUCUGUAAAGACUUUGUCUUUUUCAUUUUUCUCUCUCCUACAUAGACCCUGGAAAAUGUUUUAUUUCUUAUAAUUUGCCUGAGGUUUACUCAUCCACUACCAGAGCUCUGAAAACACUCUUCAGAACACUAUUUUAAAAUAAUGACAAUGACAAUAAUAGAUAACAUAUAUUCAGUGUUUUUUGUAUGUGAAGCAAUGUAAUAACCAUUUAAAAUGAUUGUAACUAUACUUUAUAAGAGUAUGAUGAAACAGGCACUAUUAAAAUGCUAGUUUUUCACACAGCUAA
ensembl:lncRNA novel transcript